rnacentral:rRNA from 1 species
ACUAAGCGUACACGGUGGAUGCCCUGGCAGUCAGAGGCGAUGAAGGACGUGCUAAUCUGCGAUAAGCGUCGGUAAGGUGAUAUGAACCGUUAUAACCGGCGAUUUCCGAAUGGGGAAACCCAGUGUGAUUCGUCACACUAUCAUUAACUGAAUCCAUAGGUUAAUGAGGCGAACCGGGGGAACUGAAACAUCUAAGUACCCCGAGGAAAAGAAAUCAACCGAGAUUCCCCCAGUAGCGGCGAGCGAACGGGGAGCAGCCCAGAGCCUGAAUCAGUGUGUGUGUUAGUGGAAGCGUCUGGAAAGGCGCGCGAUACAGGGUGACAGCCCCGUACACAAAAAUGCACAUGCUGUGAGCUCGAUGAGUAGGGCGGGACACGUGGUAUCCUGUCUGAAUAUGGGGGGACCAUCCUCCAAGGCUAAAUACUCCUGACUGACCGAUAGUGAACCAGUACCGUGAGGGAAAGGCGAAAAGAACCCCGGCGAGGGGAGUGAAAAAGAACCUGAAACCGUGUACGUACAAGCAGUGGGAGCACAGAGCAAUCUGUGUGACUGCGUACCUUUUGUAUAAUGGGUCAGCGACUUAUAUUCUGUAGCAAGGUUAACCGAAUAGGGGAGCCGAAGGGAAACCGAGUCUUAACUGGGCGUUAAGUUGCAGGGUAUAGACCCGAAACCCGGUGAUCUAGCCAUGGGCAGGUUGAAGGUUGGGUAACACUAACUGGAGGACCGAACCGACUAAUGUUGAAAAAUUAGCGGAUGACUUGUGGCUGGGGGUGAAAGGCCAAUCAAACCGGGAGAUAGCUGGUUCUCCCCGAAAGCUAUUUAGGUAGCGCCUCGUGAAUUCAUCUCCGGGGGUAGAGCACUGUUUCGGCAAGGGGGUCAUCCCGACUUACCAACCCGAUGCAAACUGCGAAUACCGGAGAAUGUUAUCACGGGAGACACACGGCGGGUGCUAACGUCCGUCGUGAAGAGGGAAACAACCCAGACCGCCAGCUAAGGUCCCAAAGUCAUGGUUAAGUGGGAAACGAUGUGGGAAGGCCCAGACAGCCAGGAUGUUGGCUUAGAAGCAGCCAUCAUUUAAAGAAAGCGUAAUAGCUCACUGGUCGAGUCGGCCUGCGCGGAAGAUGUAACGGGGCUAAACCAUGCACCGAAGCUGCGGCAGCGACGCUUAUGCGUUGUUGGGUAGGGGAGCGUUCUGUAAGCCUGUGAAGGUGUACUGUGAGGUAUGCUGGAGGUAUCAGAAGUGCGAAUGCUGACAUAAGUAACGAUAAAGCGGGUGAAAAGCCCGCUCGCCGGAAGACCAAGGGUUCCUGUCCAACGUUAAUCGGGGCAGGGUGAGUCGACCCCUAAGGCGAGGCCGAAAGGCGUAGUCGAUGGGAAACAGGUUAAUAUUCCUGUACUUGGUGUUACUGCGAAGGGGGGACGGAGAAGGCUAUGUUGGCCGGGCGACGGUUGUCCCGGUUUAAGCGUGUAGGCUGGUUUUCCAGGCAAAUCCGGAAAAUCAAGGCUGAGGCGUGAUGACGAGGCACUACGGUGCUGAAGCAACAAAUGCCCUGCUUCCAGGAAAAGCCUCUAAGCAUCAGGUAACAUCAAAUCGUACCCCAAACCGACACAGGUGGUCAGGUAGAGAAUACCAAGGCGCUUGAGAGAACUCGGGUGAAGGAACUAGGCAAAAUGGUGCCGUAACUUCGGGAGAAGGCACGCUGAUAUGUAGGUGAAGCGACUUGCUCGUGGAGCUGAAAUCAGUCGAAGAUACCAGCUGGCUGCAACUGUUUAUUAAAAACACAGCACUGUGCAAACACGAAAGUGGACGUAUACGGUGUGACGCCUGCCCGGUGCCGGAAGGUUAAUUGAUGGGGUCAGCGCAAGCGAAGCUCUUGAUCGAAGCCCCGGUAAACGGCGGCCGUAACUAUAACGGUCCUAAGGUAGCGAAAUUCCUUGUCGGGUAAGUUCCGACCUGCACGAAUGGCGUAAUGAUGGCCAGGCUGUCUCCACCCGAGACUCAGUGAAAUUGAACUCGCUGUGAAGAUGCAGUGUACCCGCGGCAAGACGGAAAGACCCCGUGAACCUUUACUAUAGCUUGACACUGAACAUUGAGCCUUGAUGUGUAGGAUAGGUGGGAGGCUUUGAAGUGUGGACGCCAGUCUGCAUGGAGCCGACCUUGAAAUACCACCCUUUAAUGUUUGAUGUUCUAACGUGGACCCGUAAUCCGGGUUGCGGACAGUGUCUGGUGGGUAGUUUGACUGGGGCGGUCUCCUCCUAAAGAGUAACGGAGGAGCACGAAGGUUGGCUAAUCCUGGUCGGACAUCAGGAGGUUAGUGCAAUGGCAUAAGCCAGCUUGACUGCGAGCGUGACGGCGCGAGCAGGUGCGAAAGCAGGUCAUAGUGAUCCGGUGGUUCUGAAUGGAAGGGCCAUCGCUCAACGGAUAAAAGGUACUCCGGGGAUAACAGGCUGAUACCGCCCAAGAGUUCAUAUCGACGGCGGUGUUUGGCACCUCGAUGUCGGCUCAUCACAUCCUGGGGCUGAAGUAGGUCCCAAGGGUAUGGCUGUUCGCCAUUUAAAGUGGUACGCGAGCUGGGUUUAGAACGUCGUGAGACAGUUCGGUCCCUAUCUGCCGUGGGCGCUGGAGAACUGAGGGGGGCUGCUCCUAGUACGAGAGGACCGGAGUGGACGCAUCACUGGUGUUCGGGUUGUCAUGCCAAUGGCACUGCCCGGUAGCUAAAUGCGGAAGAGAUAAGUGCUGAAAGCAUCUAAGCACGAAACUUGCCCCGAGAUGAGUUCUCCCUGACUCCUUGAGAGUCCUGAAGGAACGUUGAAGACGACGACGUUGAUAGGCCGGGUGUGUAAGCGCAGCGAUGCGUUGAGCUAACCGGUACUAAUGAACCGUGAGGCUUAACC